rnacentral:rRNA from 1 species
UACGUAGGGGGCAAGCGUUGGUCCGGAUUUAUUGGGCGUAAAGCGCGCGCAGGCGGUUUAUUAAGUCUGAUGUGAAAGCCCACGGCUCAACCGUGGAGGGCCAUUGGAAACUGGUAGGCUUGAGUGCAGGAGAGGAGAGCGGAAUUCCCGGUGUAGCGGUGAAAUGCGUAGAUAUCAGGAGGAAUACCGGUGGUGUAGACGGCUCUCUGGACCGCAACUGACGCUGAAACACGAAAGCGUGGGUAGCAAACAGG